CACAGGUUAAAGAGAGGGAACGCUUAGCUGUUCCAGCAGAGUUUCGCUCUGAACGGCCCGUGUUUAUGAGUGUACAAGCUUCAUGUUCAGACGCACUCCGGAAUGCUGCAGUUUGCGUGGAAACGCAGAAGCUGGCGCAGGAGGAUCCCCCUGUACCGACAGGGGCCGCACGGCUGUGUCAGCCAGGGGGGUGGCGUGUGUCCCCCAUCCUGUCCUUCGGAUGCAGGACAGGGCAAAACCCUCCCAGGAAAUCCACGGGGAAGAUGAGAAAUGAGCAGCAGAAGCGCUGACUUGCCUUGAUUACCGCCCAGACAUGUGGCUUCACACGGUCCUUCAGGAGGCGGCAGCUCUGCCUAAUUGGCCUGUGGGGACGGAGCGGUUCCACGAACAAUGAAUGGUGUGUCUGCGUGACCAGAGGUACAGAGAGUCCAGCAGAGCCAAAGCCUGGUCACAAACAAAAGUAAUGGUUACAUGACAUCUUUGGAUCUAUUUUUAAUUAGCUACCAAUAAAGCUAUGCAAUAAUUGUUGGCUGCCCCCGGUCCUUGCCAUCCA